rnacentral:rRNA from 1 species
UCAGACGAUGCGUCAUGCAUAUCAAUAAGCGGAGGAAAAGAAACUAACAAGGAUUCCCCUAGUAACGGCGAGUGAAGCGGGAAGAGCUCAAAUUUGAAAUCUUAAAGGGUUUCCCUUUACGAAUUGUAGUUUAAAGAAGUGUUUUCUGUUGAGGUUUUGGUAAAAGUUCUUUGGAAUAGGACAUCAUAGAGGGUGAGAAUCCCGUAUUUGACCUUUACUUUCAACUUUGUGAUACACUUUCAAAGAGUCGGAUUGUUUGGGAAUGCAGUCCAAAAUGGGUGGUAAAUUUCAUCUAAAGCUAAAUAUUGGCGAGAGACCGAUAGCGAACAAGUACCGUGAGGGAAAGAUGAAAAGAACUUUGAAAAGAGAGUUAAACAGUACGUGAAAUUGUCAAAAAGGAAGCGUUUGACACCAGUGUUGUUUUUCCUGAAAAUCAAUUAAAGAACUGUUUAUGCUAAGUUGUUUAGACUUUAUCAGCUAUCUGUUUAGUUUUGAGCUUUUCUUUAAUGCACUUUUCAGUUAACAAGUCAACAUCAAUUUCUUUUGCUGUAAAAAAGCUUGAGGAAGGUGGCUUGAGAUUCGUCUUAAGUGUUUAUAGCCUCUUGCCUAUGCAGUCGGAGAGAUUGAGGUCUGCAGCGUAGAUCCUUCGGGGCUAAAUGCAUUUGUGCUAAGUUAUAGCAUUUUAUAGACAACUUGUUGACUACUGAUUUGUCUUGUAGCUUACUCGCUUAUGUUAUUUUACCUACGCUUAGGAUGUUGACACACGCGCGUGCUCG